rnacentral:tRNA from 1 species
UCUGUGGUGGCCUAGUGGUUAAGGAUUCAGCAUUGUCACUGCUGCGGCUUGGGUUCAAUUCCUGGCCCAGGAA